rnacentral:rRNA from 1 species
UACGGAGGAUCCAAGCGUUAUCCGGAUUCAUUGGGUUUAAAGGGUGCGUAGGCGGAAUAAUAAGUCAGUGGUGAAAGCCCUCAGCUUAACUGAGGAACUGCCAUUGAUACUGUUAAUCUUGAGUACAUUUGAUGUGGGCGGAAUGUGUCAUGUAGCGGUGAAAUGCUUAGAUAUGACACAGAACACCGAUUGCGAAGGCAGCUCACAAACCUGUAACUGACGCUGAGGCACGAAAGCGUGGGUAUCAAACAGG